AGGGUGAGAACAUAUUUUCCAAGUCAGAAAACUGAAAACUAAAAGUUGUGAAAACAUCUAGCUAUCCGACCGAGAAUUAUUUUACCAGUUUAAUAUUUAAAGAUACAUGUACCAAGUAUAUUACCAAGAUUUUGUAUUAAAAUAGCAAUAGUAAAUCCUGAGAUUGGAAUAGAACUUCCAAGGGGAGACAAAUUCUAUAAACACCAAGAUUUGUUAAUUCAAUGGGAGAUAACUCUGUAAAAUAUGCAGAUUUUAAUGCAGUUGAAAUUCAAAUCAUUUUUCUAUUUUUGACUUCCUUUUUUUUCCAUCUUUAUAUUAAUUUUACAAACUUAGGUGUUGAUGUUAUACUAUUGUGAACAUGUAGUAAGAAAUCAAAACAAUAUUUAGUAAAUGUUUAUGUUGACAGAAAUAGAUUUAUAAAAUAUAUAAUAAUGUAUCCAUUUUAAUUCCUUUUUAGGUUCUUUCUGUGACAUGUUUUUCAUGGUGUUGGGAAUAAGACUUUGGGGUCUAAUACAUCUAAAAGGAAGGUUAACAUCACAGCUUGUCCGUUAUGAUUGAGGUUGGGAAUGGCCAUUGGAGCUGACUUUUAUGGUAACUUUAACUGUGGCUGCAUGAAAAUGAUUGGAUGACUGUACCAGUAAAGAAUGUAAAUCAGACAAUUUUUGUGUAUGUGUGAGAAAAUGUUUAUAAUUUUUUACAAACAAAA